rnacentral:lncRNA from 1 species
UCUGUUUUGAAAUUCAAAGUGUAAAAUGGGGAUAUGGAGGAAUGGGCAAGACUUGAAUGCACAUGUUUCGUCGCCCAGGUUUGGAUUGCAUUCUUACCCAAAUACUCUUCGUGAUGGCCUGCUUUGCGGCUUUGGGGCAAUGCUGAUUCAAAUCUGCUCAAGAUGCAGUGUUGCACAGCUAAGCAUCUUCUUGAUUACAAUCCGCCACACUUCUAACUGCGCUCAUUCGCACUGCCACGGAUACUUUGUCAACAGUCAAAUUACACCACGCUGA